rnacentral:rRNA from 1 species
AUUGAACGCUGGCGGCAUGCCUAACACAUGCAAGUCGAGCGAGCGGCGGACGGGGGAGUAAUGUAUGGGGACUGUCCGAACGAUGGGGAUAACUACUGGAAACGGUAUCUAAUACCGCACACUAUGGGAUACCGCAUAUGGGAUUAGCUAGUAGGUGAGGUAAUGGCUCACCUAGGCGACGAUCCCCAGCUGGUCUGAGAGGAUGAUCAGCCACACUGGGACUGAGACACGGCCCAGACUCCUACGGAGGCAGCAGUGGGGAAUAUUGCACAAUGGGCGAAAGCCUGAUGCAGCCAUGCCGCGUGUAUGAAGAAGGCCCUAGGGUUGUAAAGUACUUUCAGUCGGGAGGCGUUACCGACAGAAGAAGCCCCGGCUAACUCCGUGCCAGCCGCCGCGGUAAUAC